UAUUAAAAAUUUCAUCCAGUUAUGCUGUUAAAAACAGGUGUGGCUGACGCAAUAACCAGACAGUGCCACGUGGCAUGCCACGUAUACCUCAUGUGAUGUAUAGGGACCAUUUUUUAAUAGUAGAAAUGGAUGGAAUUUUUAACC
rnacentral:pre_miRNA from 1 species